GAGGUACAGUUCUGUAUAUGUGUGGCAUUUUUAGUAAAGAAGUUCUGAGUAAAGACGUUAGCGUUGAAUACCACUUCUUCUUUCGAUCCUUAUCUUAGUGCCUCAAGCAGUAACGACUCUAGUUUGUCUAUGUAACGCCUCCAGGCGGUUUAAACAAUCCAAAGGAAUACUCAAGAUGGCAAAGAUUAAAGGUCAAGUUAAAUGGUUCAACGAAUCUAAAGGUUUUGGUUUUAUCACCCCAAAUGAUGGCAGUAAAGAUGUAUUUGUACAUUUCUCUGCUAUUCAGGGGAAUGGUUUCAAGACUUUAGCUGAAGGGCAGAAUGUAGAGUUUGAGAUUCAAGAUGGCCAGAAAGGUCCAUCAGCAAUAAAUGUUCUUGCUGUAUAACUCGUAAGAAAUAUAAAAGCCCGUACCUUAAUGGUUCGGGUUUUUAU
rnacentral:sRNA from 1 species